UUUAUUUAUACAGAUCCCAUUUAUAACAUGUAACCUAUACAGCUCUGUAUUUAUCACACAAUUUUUGCUGAAAUUGCAAACACAUACUCAGAAAGGGGACAUGCAAUACAAAAAGGGGUUCAAACCCCCUCAUGCUACCUGUAUGUGUUCAUUGACAAGACAGUCUGAAUUGUCACAGUCCACCCAGCUGUAAAGAGGUUCCUGUUUUAGCUGGGGAAGUAACCUGCAUCACACAGCCAUUCUGUUCGGGGGAAUCACAGACGCCCUUCUGCUUCACACCACAGAAUCCAGAGAUAAGCACGGGUACAGAUGGACUUCAGGCACUAUAUAGGACUUAUUUCUUCUUCUUGUCCUGAAGGGGACAAAUGAAAGUCAGUCAGUCCAGUGGGCCAUCACCUCAUUUUCUGUGGUUCAUCUGAAAAGGGUGUGGAUUGUCCUCUCAGGGUCACGGGAGAAUUACUGCCACAAGUGGAAGAUUUCAAGUGUCUCGGGGUCUUGUGCGCAAGAGGUGUUAAGAUGGAGUGUCAGAUUGAUACACGGACUGGGGCUGUGUUGUAGGUCCUGCGGCCGCUGUACUGGAACAUCGUGUUGAAGAAAGACCUGAGACAGAAGGCUCUCUCAAUUUGCCAGUUGAUCUAUGCUGCUAUCAUUACCUAUGGUCAUGAACUGUUAAUGACUGAAAGAAUAAAGUCACGGACACAAACGGCAGAAAUGAGGUUCCUCUGUUGGGUAACACUCCAUAACACUCAGGGACAGAGAGUAGAGCUGCUGCUUCUUUGCAUUGAAAGGAGCCAGAUGAAGUGGAGCUCCAUUAAGGACAGUCAUAUUCUUGGUUUACAGGGUGAGCCCAGUCCAAAACCUAGAAAAAUACACCUAGCCGGCCAUAUUUCUUUAGACAGUGAUGCUCCAUUAACAUGCCUAUGAUGAUUGACAUCAUUAUUUUACUGAUAUUUUGCAGAAAAUGUGAUUUUUUUUUUUUUUUUUUUGUAACUCCUGGGACUGCUCAUUCACUCUCACUUCUUAAAUUAAUUAUUCAGAAAAUGAUGUCUCACAAGCAGAACAAUCAUCCAAGGUGAAUACAGCACUCAUUGACUUAACUGUUUACAGAGUGUCUUAAUGUAACUACAGUUGGAAAAAAAUAAAAAUUAUCCUUUAAUGACGUCUGGAGGAACAACACAGUUGACUGUAGUAGAGUUUAAACUGUGGACAUUACAGAGAAGUCCAGUGAUGGCAGUUACUCAAGGAACAAUCCUGGGUUCAGUUUAACUAUGAGUUUAACACAUUUUUUUUAAUAUUAUUUGUUAGAGUGGCCGUAGAAGAAUAAAAAUGUGGUAAAUAAUGAUGUUCAUUAUGAAUGACAGCAAUCUUUAUUCUGUACAGCCAUUUUGAAAAAUGUAUUUAUUCAUAACAAAUUAGAGGUAGACUUAAUAUGUCACUGCACAGUGAGUUUUAGGGUAUUCAUUAAUCAAGCAUAAAUUAGUUUAUGACUUUCAAAGAACACAGUAUUAAAGAAUUUGAUUAUUAUUAUUGAUGAUGGUGAUGAUGAUGAUGAUGAUGAUGAUGAUAAUAAUGAUAAUAAUAACAACAAUAAUAAUAAUGGAGGUGUUCAUAUGAACAAAUAAGAAAUUCAUUCUAAUGGAAGUUACUGCAUAAAAGUACCUGAUAAAACAAACAGAAGCUUCAACAGACUCAACCUUUAUCACUUCAAUUUAAAAACAAAACAAAUAAAUACUUGAGCAGUCAAGAAAUUCAUGAAUGCUGACUUCUAAGAAUGCUCAGGCUGAAAAUCUUUUUCAUAGUGUUUCUGACAAUCACACAGUAUAUACACGAAAAUGUUUAAUGUGCAUAAGAUGCAUGUCGAGAAACUGCAGCCUUACUCUGUUACAUGAUAAAGUAAACACUAACCAACAUCACCUACUCCAGGUAGACGAUGCCAUUCCGGCUCCAGAUUUUUGUCAAUCAACGAGUAAAAGUGCUCCCUGUCACCAAUUAAAUAUGUGCAUUGAAGUCUUUGGUUCAAGUAUUGGAAAAUCACAGUUGCUAUCAGAGUUGUUACAUAAUUCUUAAUUGUUAAUAAUUAUGUUGUAAAUAAACAACCAAAUUCUAUUAAUCCCAUGCUGAUUCAAAUGAUUGAUUUCACAGAUUUAUUCUUCUCACUUUAGUUUUAAAAAGUAUAGAAAUGGGCAACAGAAAUCAUGACAGAAUUGGCCCCAUAGACACAUUUUUCUUUAUCAAUGAUAAUAAUGCACCAAACACGAAUGGAGAAGUUUCUGAAUUAUACUAUAAAAUCAUCAUGGCUCCAAUCAGCUUCAACUAGUUCAUUUUCAAUACACAGAGCAUGUUGGCAGAACUCAAAAAAUUUGAUGUAACUAAUAAGCUUAAUUUUCUUAAUGUUUAGGCACUCAAAAAUAAAUUAUUUGAACUUAAAAAAUUGAAUACCUUUUGUUUGUACUCAUAUUGUUUGUUGUUUCAUUUGGGGUAAUAUAACUUAACAAAUUUAAGUCCAAAAAUUACAACAUUUUAAUAACAUUCAAGGCAGAAUUGCACAGUCAACAUUGUGUACACUUCCUUAAAGGUGGCAUUUAGUGACUUUUUUUUAAGGGUGUAUUGAUAAGCUGCACACAGGGAUUAAUUUAACAACUUUCCAGUUCUCAAACAACAUGGUUUACCAUCUACAACAUUUUCCCAAAGUGGUGUACUUAUUUCUUCAUAAAUGCAUAUAACUCACACUAUUGUUGUUUGAUUCCAAAAUAUACACUGUGUCUAAUUCAGCAAACCAUCAAAGAAUGAUAUUUUGGCCUUAAGAGAAAUUGAUACAUUUGAAUUAUAUGUUAGCAUAUAUUCAUGCACUGCAAACCCGAACAAGUUAGCAGAACUCAGAAAUAGUGAGGCAAUCACUUGCCACAAAAUUUUUGAGUCCAUAAAUAUAAAAAUCAAUUGUUACCAGAACUUAAACGUUCCAAUUAAAUGCUACUUGUACUUCAUAAUUACAAUUAAAUUAAAGUGUCACUAAGUCUUUUUGGCUACUUCAUUGUUUUUCCACUAUCGCCAGCAGAUGUGAGGUGGAUCUGUUAUGUUGAACUGGCACAGGUUUUACACCAGAUAGCCUUCCUGAUGCAACUCCACAUUAUAUGGACAAAUGUGGCAGGGGUGGGGUUUGAACCUACUGCACUGAAACCAAGCGCACUAACCACUUGGCCACCACCCCUGCUAAAGGGUUCAUUAAGUCACCUCAGAUACUUUCAUAUAUAAUUACAUAAUUCUUGAAGUUGUGUUUAAGUUAUGCUUUGAAGUUUUGCUUACUUAAUAUGCAAUUAGUUCAAGUC